CUCACUAAAUAUAUGAUUUCAG
rnacentral:siRNA from 1 species